rnacentral:tRNA from 1 species
CAGGGAGACAACAAAAUGUAAAUAUUAAUUUUGUCACCUUAGGUCGAUCGGUAUCUCAGAUUCUUAUUUUUUAAGAAUUUCAGUUUCUAAGUUUUUUCUAGGUCACACCCAUCACUUUUUCCUGGGCCAUUAGCUCAGGUGGUUAGAGCGCACCCCUGAUAAGGGUGAGGUCCCUGGUUCAAGUCCAGGAUGGCCCAUAUCUCUAUGUUGGGGGUAUAGCUCAGUUGGUAGAGCGCCUGCUUUGCAAGCAGGAUGUCAGCGGUUCGAGUCCGCUUACCUCCACUGAAUACCACCUCUUACAUAUAUUUAAUAUUUAAAGAGGGAAAUUGUUUUGAGUCGUGUCCUAAUUUGCUCUGAGCGAAUCUAGCUUCCUAUUUUAUUCUAUAAAUAAGAUGCUGGACUCAUUGAAUUUUUUUUCAUUGUUUUCAGAGAACCUUGACAACUGCAUAGAUUAUUUUUGAAGACAAUAAGCAUCUUUAAUGAUGCAGAUUUAUUAUUUGUGCGAAUGCAUUAAAUAACAAUUCUAUUAAGCUGAUGCUUCAAUUAUUGAAGUUAUU